UACGUAGGUGGCAAGCGUUGUUCCGGAUUUAGCUGGGCGUAAAGAGCGCGCUAGGCGGUUGAUUAAGUACGCAUGUGAAAGCCCCGGCUCAACUGGGGAGGUCAUUCGAUACUGAUCGACUUGAAGGCAGGAGAGGGAAGUGGAAUUCCGGGUGUAGUGGUGAAAUGCGUAGAUAUCCGGAGGAACACCAGUGGCGAAGGCGACUUCCUGGCCUGUUCUUGACGCUGAGGCGCGAAAGCUGGGGGAGCAAACGGGG
rnacentral:rRNA from 1 species